rnacentral:rRNA from 1 species
CGUAGGGUGCGAGCGUUGUCCGGAAUUACUGGGCGUAAAGAGCUCGUAGGUGGUUUGUCGCGUCGUCUGUGAAAAUUCCGGGGCUUAACUCCGGGCGUGCAGGCGAUACGGGCAAACUGGAGUGCUGUAGGGGAGACUGGAAUUCCUGGUGUAGCGGUGGAAUGCGCAGAUAUCAGGAGGAACACCGAUGGCGAAGGCAGGUCUCUGGGCAGUUACUGACACUGAGGAGCGAAAGCAUGGUAGCGAACAGGAUU